rnacentral:rRNA from 1 species
UACGGAGGGUGCAAGCGUUAUCCGGAUUCACUGGGUUUAAAGGGUGCGUAGGUGGGCAGGUAAGUCAGUGGUGAAAUCUCCGGGCUUAACCCGGAAACUGCCAUUGAUACUAUCAGUCUUGAAUACCGUGGAGGUAAGCGGAAUAUGUCAUGUAGCGGUGAAAUGCUUAGAUAUGACAUAGAACACCAAUUGCGAAGGCAGCUUACUACCCGAAAUAUUGACACUGAGGCACGAAAGCGUGGGGAUCAAACAGGA